rnacentral:rRNA from 1 species
GAUGAACGCUGGCGGCGUGCCUAACACAUGCAAGUCGAAGGAGAGGGCGGACGGGGGAGAAACACGUGGGCAACCUGGCUCAGAGAGGGGGAGAACAGAGAGAAAUGUCUGCUAAUACCGCAUACUAUGAGAUGGACCCGUGUCUGAUUAGCCAUUUGGCAGGGUAAGAGCCGAACAAAUCGACGUUCAGUAGCAGAUUGGAGAGGAUGAACGGCCACAUUGGGACUGAGACACGGCCCAAACUCCUACGUGAGGCAGCAGUGGGGGAUAUUGCACAAUGGGGGGAACCGUGAUGCAGCGACGCCGCGUGAUUGAAGAAGUAUUUCGGUAUGUAACGCUCUAUCAGCAGGGAAGCAGUACCUGAAUAAGAAGCCCCGGCUAACUACGUGCCAGCAGCCGCGGUAAUAC